rnacentral:misc_RNA from 1 species
UUUCCGUAGGUGAACCUGCGGAAGGAUCAUUAUUGAAUAUCCGAGGUGUGAUGGCUGUCGCUGUCCCGAAAGGGUGUGCACGUCCGAGCGCUCUAUCACUCAUACCUCUCACCCCUAUGUGCACCACCGCGUGCGUCUCCCUCUUGCUUUUUUGGUGGGGGCCUUACGGUUUCACACAUUCUUUUUAUGCAGUGUAGAAUGUAUUUUUUGUUUUUUCGAUCACCCAAUCAAUACAACUUUCAACAACCGUUCUCUAGGCUCUCGCAUCGAUGAAGAAUC